AGAGUCGAGGAAGUAGGGAUUGUCCCGGAUGAUGGCAUAGCCGGUCGGACGAAGGAUACGGUCCAUUUCCAAGAGCACAAACUUCAUCUCACAUCUGCAGAAUUCAUGCCAAUCUAAAGUCUUUAUAUUUUAUAAAUAUAAAAUAAAAGAGCCAUGGUAAGGAAGAGAACCAGGCAAACUUAUUUGACUCGGCGUCGUCACUGCAAGGAAAAACUAUGACCGCGAGUAAGAGAAACGCCUCUCCUUCAUCCUGCUUGCCAAGGUGGCUAACAGAGGGGGUACAAAAUCCGCAGCUUUGCCGGCAUUCAUGAAGGGCAGAACGGCGUCGUCUCCCUUUUCUUCUACAGAGGAUGAGAAAGGACAUGACUUGCUCAGCCUUGCUAUUAGUACCUAGCUUUACUAUUUGUAUCUCUUAAUUUCAGUUGGUGAGACGUGGUUCAUCCCGUCCCACGUAACAAAAGAAACAUAUCAUUUAUAUCUUGCCUAAAAACCAAUAUGAUUCUCUCU